AUUUAUGUAGUUUAACAAAACAUUACAUUUUCAUUGUAAAAAUAAAAAUAAAUUUUUCAUAAAUA
rnacentral:tRNA from 1 species